CGGGAGGAGGAAGGGCAGAUCUCACUCACAGUGAGGCUGGGCUGUGGGCCACAGGAAGUGCAUCGGGAGGGGGGCACAGCCUUCCAGGCAGGGAGGGGACAAAGUCCCCUGGACCUUGCCGGGAGAUGGAGUCACACUGCCUGCCAUCUGGCUUUGUUGGGAAGAGAAAAGAAAUGGGGCUUCCGGCAGCCUGUUGGUGGCACCCCAGCAGUGUGGAUCUUGCCAAACCUGGCAUCUAAGGCACUAGGGACCCAGUGGACCCUGAGAGGUCAUUAAGAUGUGUGCCUACCAGGAUAGAAAAAGCCCCACCAGGCCCCAACACAAAGGACCGAAUGGAAAGCUAUUCUUCCACUGUUGGUUUGAGAUGUGAAGAUGUGUGGACCAGAAGAGAUGCACCAUGGUUAAAAAAAUAAAAGCUCACUUAUUCUGCCCCAGCUAGGGGGCCAGCCAACUGCUCAGAAGCCUUGCUCAUGUGACUUAAUUCAUUGCUGAUUUCCCUCCAUAAUUUCUAGAGAUUGAAAUAUAAUUACGGUAUUUUCUGAAUGAGUGGACUGAAGAGUGCAUGGGUCAGAUUGUUUCCUCUGAGUUACAAAUCAGUGAGGGACAGACAUAGAAUUCAGAGUCUGUACCUGCAGCUUGCUUUCUUCCUGCCGAUUCCACAAUGUCCCAUGUAUGCCUGACUAUGUACAUAUGUGUGCAUAUUUGCUUGUGAAUAAAUACAAAUGCCCA